GACGAACGCUGGCGGCGCGCCUAAUACAUGCAAGUCGAACGGGUACCUCUUCGGAGGUGCUAGUGGCGGACGGGUGAGUAACACGUGGGCGACCUGCCUUCGAGUGGGGAAUAACGCUGGGAAACCAGCGCUAAUACCGCAUACGCUCCCCCUUUCAUUAAGGGGAGGAAAGCUUUAUGCGCUCGAAGAGGGGCCUGCGGCGGAUUAGCUAGUCGGUGGGGUAAUGGCCUACCGAGGCGACGAUCCGUAGCUGGUCUGAGAGGAUGAUCAGCCACACUGGGACUGAGACACGGCCCAGACUCCUACGGGAGGCAGCAGUAAGGAAUCUUCCACAAUGGGGGCAACCCUGAUGGAGCGACGCCGCGUGGACGAAGAAGCUUCUCGGAGUGUAAAGUCCUUUUCCCUGCGAUGAGAGGGACAGUAGCAGGGGAAUAAGCCACGGCUAA
rnacentral:rRNA from 1 species